CUUGCUUCUCUUCGAGAGCGGCGGACGGGUGAGUAAUGCCUAGGAAUCUGCCUGGUAGUGGGGGAUAACGUUCGGAAACGGACGCUAAUACCGCAUACGUCCUACGGGAGAAAGCAGGGGACCUUCGGGCCUUGCGCUAUCAGAUGAGCCUAGGUCGGAUUAGCUAGUUGGUGGGGUAAUGGCUCACCAAGGCGACGAUCCGUAACUGGUCUGAGAGGAUGAUCAGUCACACUGGAACUGAGACACGGUCCAGACUCCUACGGGAGGCAGCAGUGGGGAAUAUUGGACAAUGGGCGAAAGCCUGAUCCAGCCAUGCCGCGUGUGUGAAGAAGGUCUUCGGAUUGUAAAGCACUUUAAGUUGGGAGGAAGGGUUGUAGAUUAAUACUCUGCAAUUUUGACGUUACCGACAGAAUAAGCACCGGCUAACUCUGUGCCAGCAGCCGCGGUAAUACAGAGGGUGCAAGCGUUAAUCGGAAUUACUGGGCGUAAAGCGCGCGUAGGUGGUUUGUUAAGUUGGAUGUGAAAUCCCCGGGCUCAACCUGGGAACUGCAUUCAAAACUGACUGACUAGAGUAUGGUAGAGGGUGGUGGAAUUUCCUGUGUAGCGGUGAAAUGCGUAGAUAUAGGAAGGAACACCAGUGGCGAAGGCGACCACCUGGACUAAUACUGACACUGAGGUGCGAAAGCGUGGGGAGCAAAC
rnacentral:rRNA from 1 species